CCUACGGGAGGCAGCAGUGGGGAAUUUUGGACAAUGGGCGCGAGCCUGAUCCAGCCAUGCCGCGUGCGGGAAGAAGGCCUUCGGGUUGUAAACCGCUUUUGUCAGGGAAGAAAAGGUCUGGGCUAAUAACCUGGGCUGAUGACGGUACCUGAAGAAUAAGCGCCGGCUAACUACGUGCCAGCAGCCGCGGUAAUACGUAGGGUGCAAGCGUUAAUCGGAAUUACUGGGCGUAAAGCGUGCGCAGGCGGUUCCAUAAGACAGAUGUGAAAUCCCCGGGCUCAACCUGGGAACUGCAUUUGUGACUGUGGAGCUAGAGUACGGUAGAGGGGGGAUGGAAUUCCGCGUGUAGCAGUGAAAUGCGUAGAUAUGCGGAGGAACACCGAUGGCGAAGGCAAUCCCCUGGACCUGUACUGACGCUCAUGCACGAAAGCGUGGGGAGCAAACAGGAUUAGAUACCCUGGUAGUCCACGCCCUAAACGAUGUCAACUGGUUGUUGGGAAGGUUCCUUCUCAGUAACGUAGCUAACGCGUGAAGUUGACCGCCUGGGGGAGGACGGCGCGAGUAGAACGACAAGAAGUAGAGCGNGAGAGNGCGACGACGACGACGAGGAGGAGG
rnacentral:rRNA from 1 species